CCUUCUACACCCCCAACCCCCCACCUCACCACGCAGCUGACUCUCCAGCAACUUAGCACCCUCCAUCUCACGCUUCAAUUUUUCCUCCUACCCCUCGCACUACCUCGCCCACAGACAACCCUUUCAUGGUUGCUUUUCAGAGAGUGCGUGAAGCCGAAGGUGCCGAGGGUGUGACUGUGCGUCGCUGUUCGUUGAGCCGCGAACGACAGCGCCACGACUGCUGCCAUUUCUCGAUUUCCCGCCCCUCCCCCUACCCCCUUGUUUUCCUGUCUCCUCCUUUAUCCUCGUGUUGCUGCCCUACUGCUUUGAAGGAGCCAUGUGGAGUACAGGAGUGGACGUGGGCGGCAGAGAGGUACACGUGCGUCUCUCACCCGGGGUCUAUCGCGCCGCGUAUUCGGCCCCACUGGCAAAUAUUGAUGCUGGCCCAGAUUGCGCUUCAACGGCGGCGAUGCCACCAAAAGACGUCGCGAAGGCCCUCUCUGACGCGCGGAGCCGCUUUCAUCAACUUCGAGACCUCCGACGGGAGCUCAGUGGCCGCCAUCUGCCAAACACCGACGGUUUCUCAGCAGCAGCGGCGCCGGCAGUGCACGCAUCGUCUGCAUUCCCCUCAACACUGCCCACGGCUACCUUAGCUCAAGCCUCGCUUUCUGUGACAUGCACACCAUCCGCUGCCUCCUUUGGUCUCCCACUCGACCGGCUCUCGGCGGAUGAUCCGGUCACGCGCUCUGUCUUGCGCACCGCCGCGGCGGAGCGUGCGCUACGCCUGCAGCAGGCCGAAAACGAUGAGCUGAAACGAGCGAUGGUGACGCAGCAACAGGAGGCCGCCCAAAUGCAGUGCUUGAUCGAUCGUCUCUCCUCAGAGCUCACCGAAAUGCGGCAGACGGUGCUGCGGCAGACAGCCACCAUGAAGUCGCUGGCGGCGGAAAUGGAGCGCCGAGAUGUGUAUCACUUGAUCAAAGAGAAGCACCGCAGCCAAGCGGCGGCGUCGGCGGUGGCGACUGCAAAUGCCUCGCCGGGCACCUUAUCUUCGCAAUCCUCGUUAAGCCACCAGCAGCGACUCGCGCAACUCGAGCAGCAGUUGGAGCAGCUCACGAAGGAGAAAGCAGAGUUGCAGCAGCAGGUGAGCCACCUUUCGUCUCGCCACGGUGGAAAGCGGCAGAGCACGCCGGCGAUCGAGGUUAUCGACAAGGACGAUGAUUUGGUGGGGGAGGGGAGCGGGGCUGACGGGUCGGUUUUAUCUGCGCGCGUGGAGUUGCAGAGGUUGGUGCAGGCCCUCGGUGCCAUACUCCAGGCCGGCGCUUCGCCUCUUGCGCGCAUCGGCGCGUGCUCCGAACCUAUUUACGAGUUGGAGCUGAGUCGCGUUACACGACUGGCCCCUGCUCGCACACAGCGCGACCCCGAUGACGAUGCGCGUGCACCAGGAAAGGUAAACUCUGUCGUAUGCAUCUGCGGCCCAUACAGUAUGCGCGACGUCCUUCUGCGCGUUCAACUAGUGACAGAGAAUGCGGGUUCACUGAUGCGGCGCUCUCGCGGGCUUGAGGGGGGGCCUCUGCAAAGCCCCGGGAGGUGCGUGUUGUACGCUAUGCGGGAUACGUGCAGUGCUGUGAGGAUCUGCCUGUACAAAGGGGUGGCCAAUACUGAGGUCGAAACAGGUGAGCCUUGUAGCACUGAGUCACCGGCGCCAACUGCCACAGCAACCGUUGCCGUGCACACCUUGAUCGCCACAGCCCUCGCCAGUGGCAACGAGCUAGAGACGAGGCAUGCUGCCUACAGCGUACACACGGUCCAUCUUGUCGAUGACAAGGGCGGAUUGCGUGACACCGUCACAUUCUGGGUUCGAGUCACGGAAGUGCAGCACCGGCGUUACAGCGGGUACAAAGGGAUCAGCUGCAUCGACAGCGAUGUUGAUGGCCGUCGAUGUGCGUCACCGUUCCAGUCACCUCGAACACUUGAGCCCGGUGGCGUUAGAAUCCGCGAGAGAAGCGCGACGCCACUCAGCAGUGCUGAUGCUGGCUCAGCGGAAGUUGAGAGCGUCACCAAAAACUUGCAACGCGGGCAGCGUCUUGGGCCUAUGCUCUCCCCCUCCCGAAACGACGAUGCCACACCUAUGAAAGGACAGCGCCUCUUCGCGCACUCGUCGUUCUCAUGCUCAACUGCUCCACCCGCCCCCACCGACGAUGCCAACUCACGCGGCUCCGCAGAGAAAGCGAAAGGCAUACUCGAGCAGGUGGAGCCGCAAACGAAGCCACUGCCAGCACUCCUGACUCCCUCGGAGGACUCCAAGAAGGCGGUGACUCGUGCAGCGGCAGCUGUCUUCUGCAGCGGGUCUAAGACCCCCAUAACGUUCGACGGAACUAGCGAGUCACAGAUCACGGAUGAUUCGGCGUUAGCAGCGGCGAGGACUACGACACUGCUGCCCGUGUAUGACACACCAGCCCCCAUGCCACCACGCCUCGCCGCGUCGUCUGACCCUUCCUCAACGGUAGGUGUCCGCCCCACUCCCAGUGCGCCCAACCUUUCUUGGCCACCGCCACCGCCUGUGGCCGUAGUGCCCGCUCCACCGCUGUCGUCGACACCGACCUCGACGCCCCCUGCUGACGCUGCCUAUGCGAUGCGGAUGCGCAUUAAAGAGGUGCACUUUCUUCACGAGGGCUGUGAGGACGACUUGGUGGAGGACAUGCUGGAGCAAUGCUCUCUGCAGGUGGUCGUCCGCGUAGAUGGCGAACCCGUUUUCACCGCACCAACGCGACGGAAUUCGUCGCAUGCGGUGUGGGGUGCCGAGGAAGGCAGUUUCACGCGCACGCUCACGACUGGGCAGGAGGUGCGCUUCGAGGUCCUUCACGGCGACAAGGCGCGAAGCCAAGCAGUGUUGCCUGCUUCAGAGAUCCUGAAUGCCAGUGGCGAGAAAGAGUUGACCUUGUUGUCCGUCAGCGGCGGUAGUCCUUGUGGACUGCUGACAAUGGUUUUUGAAGGAUCUGUGUAGGCACCUCAUGUGGCAUGUGCAUAAGACCACUUAUACGUACACAUGGUACCCUUCGGGUUCAUAGAUUGCACUCGCGACCCCGAGGAAGAGGGAGAUCUGCGUGCGUUGAGCGGGGUGGUAGCGCUGCUGGAUGCAUUUUUUUUUACUGCUCUUCGUGCUUCCCAGCUGUGCAUGUUCCUCUCCCCUCUUACACGAUCCGUGUAAAGUUGUAUUGCCGGCGUUCCUCGCUCCAUACCUCGCAGUACAUGGACGCGGGCGUGCCUAGAGGAACUGCAGAGAUGGACGAGGGGCGUGCCAUAGAUUUCAUAGGCCAGGGGUGCCAUAGUACUGCUUUUCGUGGCAGCAUCAGAGCCUAGAAUGAGACCAGAACGUUAUCACGAUAGGGAUAGCGAGAAGCCGACAAGGCAAAU
rnacentral:misc_RNA from 1 species